rnacentral:rRNA from 1 species
UAGAGUUUUGAUCCUGGCUCAGGACGAACGCUGGCGGCGUGCUUAACACAUGCAAGUCGAACGAUGAAGCCUUUCGGGGUGGAUUAGUGGCGAACGGGUGAGUAACACGUGGGCAAUCUGCCCUUCACUCUGGGACAAGCCCUGGAAACGGGGUCUAAUACCGUUCUCUCUCAUGGGGGAAGGUUAAAAGCUCCGGCGGUGAAGGAUGAGCCCGCGGCCUAUCAGCUAGUUGGUGGGGUAAUGGCCUACCAAGGCGACGACGGGUAGCCGGCCUGAGAGGGCGACCGGCCACACUGGGACUGAGACACGGCCCAGACUCCUACGGGAGGCAGCAGUGGGGAAUAUUGCACAAUGGGCGAAAGCCUGAUGCAGCGACGCCGCGUGAGGGAUGACGGCCUUCGGGUUGUAAACCUCUUUCAGCAGGGAAGAAGCGAAAGUGACGGUACCUGCAGAAGAAGCGCCGGCUAACUACGUGCCAGCAGCCGCGGUAAUACGUAGGGCGCAAGCGUUGUCCGGAAUUAUUGGGCGUAAAGAGCUCGUAGGCGGCUUGUUGCGUCGGUUGUGAAAGCCCGGGGCUUAACCCCGGGUCUGCAGUCGAUACGGGCAGGCUAGAGUGUGGUAGGGGAGAUCGGAAUUCCUGGUGUACGGUGAAAUGCGCAGAUAUCAGGAGGAACACCGGG